UACGGAGGGUGCAAGCGUUAUCCGGAUUCACUGGGUUUAAAGGGUGCGUAGGAGGGCAGGUACGUCAGUGGUGAAAUCUCCGAGCUUAACUUGGAAACUGCCGUUGAUACUAUCUGCCUUGAAUAUUGUGGAGGUGAGCGGAAUAUGUCAUGUAGCGGUGAAAUGCUUAGAUAUGACAUAGAACACCAAUUGCGAAGGCAGCUCGCUACACAUAUAUUGACUCUGAGGCACGAAAGCGUGGGGAUCAAACAGG
rnacentral:rRNA from 1 species